GACGAACGCUGGCGGCGUGCUUAACACAUGCAAGUCGAACGGUAAGGCCCUUUCGGGGGUACACGAGUGGCGAACGGGUGAGUAACACGUGGGUGAUCUGCCCUGCACUUUGGGAUAAGCCUGGGAAACUGGGUCUAAUACCGGAUAGGACUACGCGAUGCAUGUCGUGUGGUGGAAAGCUUUUGCGGUGUGGGAUGGGCCCGCGGCCUAUCAGCUUGUUGGUGGGGUGAUGGCCUACCAAGGCGACGAUGGGUAGCCGGCCUGAGAGGGUGUCCGGCCACACUGGGACUGAGAUACGGCCCAGACUCCUACGGGAGGCAGCAGUGGGGAAUAUUGCACAAUGGGCGCAAGCCUGAUGCAGCGACGCCGCGUGGGGGAUGACGGCCUUCGGGUUGUAAACCCCUUUCAGCACAGACGAAGCGUAAGUGACGGUAUGUGCAGAAGAAGCACCGGCCAACUACGUG
rnacentral:rRNA from 1 species